rnacentral:rRNA from 1 species
UACGUAGGGUGCAAGCGUUUGUCCGGAAUUAUUGGGCGUAAAGAGCUCGUAGGCGGUUUGUCGCGUCUGCUGUGAAAUUUCGGGGCUCAACCCCGAACCUUGCAGUGGGUACGGGCAGACUAGAGUGUGGUAGGGGAGACUGGAAUUCCUGGUGUAGCGGUGAAAUGCGCAGAUAUCAGGAGGAACACCGAUGGCGAAGGCAGCUCUCUGGGACGGUACUGACGCUGAGACGCGAAAGCGUGGGGAGCGAACAGG